AAGACGUAACAAGGUUUCCGUAGGUGAACCUGCGGAAGGAUCAUGAACACGUAUCCAACGUUAAACCCCCCCCCGUGGUACAAUCUGUUGCUUCUCCGGUAACGCGAAACAAUGGUUGCAAUCCCUGCAACAGAAGGCUCAAUCACUCCACACUUGAAGGGUCGUGGAGAUAACGAACAACUGUUAACAAUGGAUAUCUUGGUUCUC
rnacentral:misc_RNA from 1 species